rnacentral:rRNA from 1 species
UACGAAGGGGGCUAGCGUUGCUCGGAAUCACUGGGCGUAAAGGGUGCGUAGGCGGGUCUUUAAGUCAGGGGUGAAAUCCUGGAGCUCAACUCCAGAACUGCCUUUGAUACUGAAGAUCUUGAGUUCGGGAGAGGUGAGUGGAACUGCGAGUGUAGAGGUGAAAUUCGUAGAUAUUCGCAAGAACACCAGUGGCGAAGGCGGCUCUCUGGGCCCUACCUGGACGCUGAGACGCGAAAGCGUGGGAGCGAACCGGG